AAUAAUUUACCCAAAAACCCAACACCACAGAAAAAUAGAGCCCAAAGAAUGAAUAUUUACAUAAAUACAAAUUUCUAUCAGUAAAUCAAUAAAGCAUACUCAAAAUAAUCACAUAAGUCAGCAUUAUUGAUGGCUUUACUCCCCCCCCUCUCAGCUUCAUGGUUUGCUCCUGCGGCUCUUAAGCAGGUGCUUGGGCCUACAACACUCCUUUGCCUCCGCCCCCUGCUGAAGAGACAACCAGGAAGAGGCAGGAUGGCCAGACCCCCCCCUGUGGAACCACUCACAAAGACAGCCAUCAAAUGAUUCACAAAUAAAACAAUCAA